rnacentral:rRNA from 1 species
ACUCCUACGGGAGGCAGCAGUAGGGAAUCUUCCACAAUGGGCGCAAGCCUGAUGGAGCAACACCGCGUGAGUGAAGAAGGGUUUCGGCUCGUAAAGCUCUGUUGUUAAAGAAGAACACGUAUGAGAGUAACUGUUCAUACGUUGACGGUUAUUUAACCAGAAAGUCACGGCUAACUACGUGCCAGCAGCCGCGGUAAUACGUAGGUGGCAAGCGUUAUCCGGUAUUUAUUGGGCGUAAAGAGAGUGCAGGUCGGUUUUCUAAGUCUGAUGUGAAAGCCUUCGGCUUAACCGGAGAAGUGCAUCGGAAACUGGAUAACUUGAGUGCAGAAGAGGUAGUGGAACUCCAUGUGUAGCGGUGGAAUGCGUAGAUAUA